rnacentral:rRNA from 1 species
GCGAACGCUAGCGGCAGGCUUAACACAUGCAAGUCGAACGCGUAAGAGCCGUAGCAAUACGGAAUUCUGCGAGUGGCAGACGGGUGAGUAACGCGUGGGAACCUUCCUUGAAGUACGGAAUAACCACUGGAAACGGUGGCUAAUACCGUAUGAUCCCUUCGGGGCAAAGAUUUAUCGCUUCAAGAUGGGCCCGCGUAAGAUUAGCUAGUUGGUGAGGUAAUGGCUCACCAAGGCUUCGAUCUUUAGCUGGUCUGAGAGGAUGAUCAGCCACACUGGGACUGAGACACGGCCCAGACUCCUACGGGAGGCAGCAGUGGGGAAUCUUGGACAAUGGACGAAAGUCUGAUCCAGCCAUGCCGCGUGAGUGAUGAAGGCCUUCGGGUUGUAAAGCUCUUUUAGUAGGGAAGAUAAUGACGGUACCUACAGAAAAAGCCCCGGCUAAUUUCGU